GGUAAGAGCCUGGGAACGAGGUUGAGCUUGCGUUGGGCUAGCUACUUUUGACCGUGUUUUUAAAAUGUCUGUCCAAUAUGUACCAGUAAGAAUAGUUCUUCCAAUAUAAUCUAAACAGCCAAACCUAAUGUUUCUACCAAGUUUGUGACAGCAGCCAGUGGGUUAACUGUUGAAUUACUGUCUGGUUUCUUCUUAUUAUGAGUAGUCACACUAAGUCGUUUCGCUUUUGCAGUAUUUCUCUUCAUUUCGAAAUCAUGUUUCCUCUUUGUCAGCGUGAAAAUUGACUUCAUUUUGUUCACAGCUUUCUCCAUACUGAGCAGGCUCU